GCAAAAGCCUGGAAGGGAGGAAGAAGUCCAUCUGCUUGCUCGCCCAUCACACAGGGUAGUGAAUAUUUCUGCCUUAGUAAUCUUAGCAACUUACUAUUUCUUCAUCUGUCCCCUCCAGACCGCCUGCCCUGGCACAGAGGGGGCGUCUGCACUCACCUGGAAUAAUUAGGCCCCUUGCCUAAGGGCGGUAGUGCCCCACUCACAGGCCUGGCCGAGGCACCUCCAUGACUGUGAGCCCAGGCUGGGGCAGCCGGGCCCCUUGGGCCGAUGAUGGGCAGGCAAGCUGCCUUGAAAAAGUGAGUUUAAGUUCAGCUCAAAGGGAGCUGGGAUUCACCAAGGAACAAAUAAGAGGAUUGUGAUGACUGGCAUUUCCCCUGACUUCAGGUAUGAGUCCCCCAUCUGGAAUGUGCCUUCAGGCUCCCCCCUAAAUGAUCCCAAGCUGGCCUCUACCUGCAUCGCCUGCAGGCCUGUGCACCAUGCCGCUCAUGGAAAGGCCCUCGCUCGACAGGCGGGGGGCCUCCACGCUGUGCAUGGCUCUGGGCGGGGGGCCCAGGCGUGCGUGCUCCUCAGAACCCGGUGGGCUCCGCCCAGACCCAAGAUUUCCUCAUCUUGACCAAGAGCAACCUUUGUCCCUUCUAAUGACAGGGCCACUGGUUUAGCAAAUGUUCAUGAAUUUAGAGGUAUCUUAAUGCCCACUACAGUGCAGGGACAAGGGAACAAAGACGUGUGAGCCCCCUGGAGGCUAUAGAAGCUGUAAGUUCCAUCUGUAGUGUGUGCUGGGAUUUUUUGACUCAAGAUUGCCUUUCGAGCCUAUUUCCUUAGCCCUGCAGGAAGUCACUAGGCUUUUCCAACCCAUAAAGGCUGAGAGGGGCCCAAGGAGGGGUGGCUCUUCCACGGAGCACCUGGCUGACGACAAGGGGUGGGCACCUGGAUGUCUGAGGCCAUCAGGCAAGUCUCUCUGAGUAGGGUAGGCCUAGCAGAGGCCAAAGGAUCAGCCUCAGCCCCAUGGGGCUCUCUGCGGAGCUUUGAGAAAUGUGAAUUCUUAGAAACGAGAAACACAAAAGCCAGUGUAAAGUCAUUACAUGCACGUGUCAUAAAACCCCAGCCUUGGAAAGAACCUGUCGAGCUGAUUCCAAGAGGUGAUCUGCUCGUUCUGAGCUUGACCUUAACGGUAAUGACAGUGACCAGCAUUCGUGAACGCCAACACUGUGACAGGCACUGGGAAGGUGUCCGAGCCAAGAACACCCAAACACCCCACUGUCUCACCGGGCAGGACUGAGACCACCGAGGCAAGUCCCCCCUGAGCGUAAGGCCACAGGCUCGUCUCAGCCCCAGGGUCUUGGGCUCCCCCCACCCUUCCCCCGCCAUGCGCUGUGCCUUUGUGGGUGACAGUGCACCUGACCUGUUCCUUCAGGGCUGUUGGCCUCACACCCAAGGUUUCAGUGGGACCUUUUGCACAAUUCCUGACCAGUCCAUUUUCUUCCAGUUCUUCCCCCAGGUCCUAGAUGCCAACUGCCCUCUGAGGUCUUGACCGUGCCCUUCGUGACCUGUCUCUCCCUUGCUGCCCUCCUUGUCGAGUCCCUCCCGUAGGACACUGGUACUUGUUCCUCCUUUCUUCCCCUCCCCCCGUCCGUUUCCUCCUUCAGCACAUAUUUCCUGAGGACUUGUUUUAUGCCUGUUCCAGUUACUGGGGGUAAAGCAGUACCCAGAACAAACAUACUGGCCCCCUCCUUGCAGCCUAGAAACCAACGGUAAUUCAUGUAAUGAGUGUUUUGGCAGAGAGCAGGGAACCUGUUGGUGGGCAGUCUAGGUGACCCCUCUUUGUGAGUCACAGACUUCUGAUCAUCCCAGUCUUCCUCCGGAACGCGUCCAUUCUGCACGUGUCUCUUUCCUCGAGAUGCUGCUGCUUCCCGUCCCAACACACGCAGCCCACUCCUCCCUUCAGCCCCACAACUGGACCACGACUUCACACUGGCAUCCUCCACAGCUGCCCACUGCUGGCCAGUGCUGUGUCCAUAUCCUCGUUCCACGUCCUCCACUGCCACACCGGGAGGCUGUGCCCUUACCUCUGCCACCUGCCGGCUCCAGGACACUCCUGGCUCUCUUUCUCCACCUUUGACUCCUCACCGCUUCAUUCCCACUCCAAGAAACCUCACUGUCUGUGAUGAUGAUCCACCCAGCAACCCAGCUCAGAGCUCCUUGGCCGCCUUUGUUCUCAAGAACAUAUUUUACUGGUCAGUCACACCCGUAACUAGAUUUUGUCAUCUCCUGUCAACUGCUCUACCUCUGGUUUCUCCUCACAUUUUAGCCCACCAUAAUCUCAAGCGGUGCAAGUAUAGUUCUAGAUUCUUCCUAUUGGGAUGGGUGAGAAGGGGGGUGGGGAGAAACCUAGCAACUAUCCCAGAGGGGCAUGCCCUCACUAUUAUGAGAGUUAGGUUUUGUAAACCAGCCUUUCAAAGAGCAAUUUCAAAAGCAAUAAGUGACUACUUUCGCCGUAAGGAUUACGAACCUGCACCUACGUGAUAAGUUGGGCGUGGGGAAGAACUGUCCUAACGUGGUGACUCGGAAUAGACUUUCCAAUGACAAUGUCAGACAAGUAUUAUAAAUGCUGCAUCUCAAAGAACUUGGAUGCAAUUGAAGGAUAUAGCCUUCAAGAAACCAGGCUCUGGAUGUGAUGAACAUUGAUGUUCAAGAUGCAUGUAGAGAGCUUGAAUAAAAUUGUUACUUGAAAUGUAAGAAUGGGGGGGAGCAAUAUUUUGUAUUAAUGUAUUAUUGUAUAUAAUGUUAUUUUAAAUAUGCAUGUGUAACUAAAUAAAUUAGAUAUUAUAAUUAUA